rnacentral:rRNA from 1 species
ACGCUGGCGGCAGGCCUAACACAUGCAAGUCGAGCGGAUGAAGGGAGCUUGCUCCCUGAUUCAGCGGCGGACGGGUGAGUAAUGCCUAGGAAUCUGCCUGGUAGUGGGGGACAACGUCUCGAAAGGGACGCUAAUACCGCAUACGUCCUACGGGAGAAAGUGGGGGAUCUUCGGACCUCACGCUAUCAGAUGAGCCUAGGUCGGAUUAGCUAGUUGGUGAGGUAAUGGCUCACCAAGGCGACGAUCCGUAACUGGUCUGAGAGGAUGAUCAGUCACACUGGAACUGAGACACGGUCCAGACUCCUACGGGAGGCAGCAGUGGGGAAUAUUGGACAAUGGGCGAAAGCCUGAUCCAGCCAUGCCGCGUGUGUGAAGAAGGUCUUCGGAUUGUAAAGCACUUUAAGUUGGGAGGAAGGGCAUUAACCUAAUACGUUAGUGUUUUGACGUUACCGACAGAAUAAGCACCGGCUAACUCUGUGCCAGCAGCCGCGGUAAUACAGAGGGUGCAAGCGUUAAUCGGAAUUACUGGGCGUAAAGCGCGCGUAGGUGGUUUGUUAGGUUGAAUGUGAAAUCCCCGGGCUCAACCUGGGAACUGCAUCCAAAACUGGCAAGCUAGAGUAGGGCAGAGGGUGGUGGAAUUUCCUGUGUAGCGGUGAAAUGCGUAGAUAUAGGAAGGAACACCAGUGGCGAAGGCGACCACCUGGGCUCAUACUGACACUGAGGUGCGAAAGCGUGGGGAGCAAAC